AUAGCGUAUAUUAAAGUUGUUGCAGUUAAAAAGCUCGUAGUUGAACUUCAGGCCUGGCCGGAUGGUCUGCCUAACGGUAUGUACUGUCUGGCUGGGUCUUACCUCUUGGUGAGCCGGCAUGCCCUUCACUGGGUGUGUUGGGGAACCAGGACUUUUACCUUGAGAAAAUUAGAGUGUUCAAAGCAGGCUUAUGCUCGAAUACAUUAGCAUGGAAUAAUAAAAUAGGACGUGCGGUUCUAUUUUGUUGGUUUCUAGAGUCGCCGUAAUGAUUAAUAGGGAUAGUUGGGGGCAUUAGUAUUCAGUUGCUAGAGGUGAAAUUCUUGGAUUUACUGAAGACUAACUAUUG
rnacentral:rRNA from 1 species